UGGGGAAUAUUGCACAAUGGGCGAAAGCCUGAUGCAGCGACGCCGCGUGAGGGAUGACGGCCUUCGGGUUGUAAACCUCUUUCAGCAGGGACGAAGCGCAAGUGACGGUACCUGCAGAAGAAGCACCGGCUAACUACGUGCCAGCAGCCGCGGUAAUACGUAGGGUGCAAGCGUUGUCCGGAAUUACUGGGCGUAAAGAGUUCGUAGGCGGUUUGUCGCGUCGUUUGUGAAAACCAGCAGCUCAACUGCUGGCUUGCAGGCGAUACGGGCAGACUUGAGUACUGCAGGGGAGACUGGAAUUCCUGGUGUAGCGGUGAAAUGCGCAGAUAUCAAGAGGAACACCGGUGGCGAAGGCGGGUCUCUGGGCAGUAACUGACGCUGAGGAACGAAAGCGUGGGUAGCGAACAGG
rnacentral:rRNA from 1 species